GAUGAACGCUGGCGGCGUGCCUAAUACAUGCAAGUCGAGCGAACAGACGAGGAGCUUGCUCCUCUGACGUUAGCGGCGGACGGGGGAGUAACACGUGGAUAACCUACCUAUAAGACUGGGAUAACUUCGGGAAACCGGAGCUAAUACCGGAUAAUAUAUUGAACCGCAUGGUUCAAUAGUGAAAGACGGUUUUGCUGUCACUUAUAGAUGGAUCCGCGCCGCAUUAGCUAGUUGGUAAGGUAACGGCUUAACAAGGCAACGAUGCGUAGCCGACCUGAGAGGGUGAUCGGCCACACUGGAACUGUGACACGGUCCAGACUCCUACGGGAGGCAGCAGUAGGGAAUCUUCCGCAAUGGGCGAAAGCCUGACGGAGCAACGCCGCGUUGGUGAUGAAGGUCUUCGGAUCGUAAAACUCUGUUAUUAGGGAAGAACAAAUGUGUAAGUAACUAUGCACGUCUUGACGGUACCUAAUCAGAAAGCCACGGCUAACUACGUG
rnacentral:rRNA from 1 species